AUGUACAUUCCUACAAAUUAGAAUUAAUGCACCGGAUCCCAUUAGAACUUCGCAGUUAAGCUUGCUCAGGCUAGAGUAGUACUGGGAUGGAUAACCACCCGAGAAGUCCUAGUAUUUUACAUG
rfam:Picea glauca, whole genome shotgun sequence.